AAAUGUCAAUCUAGUUAGUUCAGUUGCAAUAGGAAGCUACCUAGUAUCUGAUGUCUCCAUUAACUUUCCAUACUCCAUUGCAUGAAAAUCAGUUUGUUCUGACCAAAUUCACCUGGAGUUGGGAUUUUGCUGUGACGUAUAUCAUCAUUAUUGUAAAAUAAGGUCCAUCCAAAGGCCUUUACUCCUGUUGAUAAUCAUGAAUCUAAAUGAGUUUUGUUAGAAUCAAAAGGAGUAAAGGCCUUUGGAUGGACCUUAU
rnacentral:misc_RNA from 1 species